AUUGAACGCUGGCGGCAGACCUAACACAUGCAAGUCGAGCGGAGCGGCGGACGGGUGAGUAAUGCCUGGGAAUCUGCAUGGUAGUGGGGGAUAACGUCCGGAAACGGGCGCUAAUACCGCAUACUAUCAGAUGAGCCUAGGUCGGAUUGGCUAGUUGGUGGGGUAAAGGACUACCAAGGCGACGAUCCGUAACUGGUCUGAGAGGAUGAUCAGUCACACUGGAACUGGGACACGGUCCAGAUUCCUAGGGAAGGCAGAGGUGGGGAAUUUUGGACAAUGGGCGAAAGCCUGAGCCAGCCAUGCCGCGUGUGGGAAGAAGGUCUUCGGAUGUUAAAGCACUUUAAGUGGGUAGGCGUUACCAACAGAAUAAGCACCGGCUAACUUCGUGCCAGCAGCCGCGGUAAUUC
rnacentral:rRNA from 1 species